UACUACUUUGAGUAUAUACACUGAUACGAGGCAAUAUAUCUCACCUUGUAUCCGUGCUUUUACUUACCCUAUAGCUAACUAAAUGAAAUAGGCAGUCAUUUUCAUACAAUUAUUGCCGUAGAGCUCGAAUUUCACACUGACAUUACCAACAAACAUAGAUAAAGCCUCCAUAGCAUAGUUUUACGAUUUAACACUGUAAAUUGAUAUUUUUUUCAAUUAAUUUCGUGUCCUUUCUUAUCAAAUACUUAGAAAUUGAAACCAAUCACUUACGAACGAUAUGGGUUAAACUGCAUAAACUCAACCGCUUGUACUGGUCAAAUAAUGCCGUUAGUAUGCUUACGGUCAUAUGAAAAUAGGCUUGGCAUUCAUUUUAAAUUAUUACUUUAUGCUUUUACAUCCACAUUUUUAUCAGUUUAUUGUGCCAAGCGUAGAGUAUACAAAUAUAUCCAUUAUUAUUGAUUAUAUAUAAUUAUUAAUGAGAAUAACGGCGAAUGCACAGUGGUUCACACAACCACUUAGUUAUUAAAAAUAAAACAUAAAUGAUUAAUUCACAAU
rnacentral:misc_RNA from 1 species